UAGUAUUUUACACAUUUUACAAAACAGGUAGACAUGUCCAUUGAUCCCAGGUUGCUUAUGGUUUCUAGAGGCCCCCUCUCAAUGCAACAGUGCUGUGGGGCCCUAGGGGUCCAGUAGCCCCCUCCCACCAGGUCAUUCCGGUGAGGGAGGGAGCUGGGACCCCUGCACUGCGGCAAACAAGCACGCCUGCGCGGCCGCAGAGGCAGGGUGGCGCGCAUGCUCAGGCGGGGAUGUGUGCGAAGCCUGCCGCUGCUGCAGCAAGUCUGGCGCAGAGUGGAGCGGCCGCCGGAGAUGCCUGACGCAUCUGUCUGAGGAGCGGUCAGUGACGCGAUGGAGCGGGCAAGGUCAGCUGUGCCGGUGGCUUCUCUCAAGAGACAGCCUGGGGAGCGGCCACUUUUAUUCAUCAGAUAAUUCGUCGCAGUGACCGAGGCGAGGAGGCUAUGGCAGUGGACCAGGGGGAUGAGUCGGUGUGACAGUGGUGGGGGUUGUGUUGGUGGUCGCGGCGCGGGGAGAGUCCGUAGGAAGUGGCUGG
rnacentral:lncRNA from 1 species